rnacentral:tRNA from 1 species
CAUUAAGUGGCUGAAGAGAUAUAAGCGUUGGUCUCUUAAACCAAAUUAUAGUAAAUAUUACUCUUAAUG